UCCCUGGUGGUCCAGUGGUUAAGGCUCUGCGUUCCCAAUGCAGGGGGUCUGGGUUUAAUCCCUGGUCAGGGAA
rnacentral:tRNA from 1 species